AGAUCUGAUGCAACUGGCAAUUGCUUGUAUACUGUAGCUCUGUUUCCUAAGCAUUGACAGGUACCAAUGACCUAAUUUGACCUUGAUAGUUUAAAUAUUUACAGUGCAAGUGUGAAAGGUCUAUUUCGGCACUUAUAGGACACUAAAAGGCUAUAAGCGAACUAUGGUUGAAGACUACUUAAAUUAAAUGACUUGGCUUGGUCAUGAUGCAAAUUCACCAGGAAAUUAUUCCUAACAUAUGUACUGUAGGAAACGUUAUUGAUAAAUUUUCUGGAACAUGUGGUUAAAGUUAAAUAUCUCGGCUUGCAAAAAGACCACUCUCGCCUCCAAUAGCAAUUAAUAACCUCACUCUUGUACACAACACUGACAUGAGAAAAAACUUCCUGGGGUUUGGAUCUUCAUCAUCAACCAAACUUAGCCUUUCAAGAUCACCACCUUCCCAUAAUCCCCCCCCCCCCCCCCCAAACAUUCGGGCUUUGUAGACAAAAGCUGAUGCCAAAUAUCGGGUCUGAUCUCAUUGGCUUGAGACAGGUCCAUUGCAUCUUGAACCAGUUAAAUUUUUCAACAGACCAGGGCUUGAAAUAACAACUGAUCACCAAUCAAUAAUAGGCAAGAAAUUGCUUAUGAUCGGUGGAAAAGCAGGGUUUCCAACCUGAAAAAGCAGGGAAAGUCAUGACUGCCGAUCACCAUGAUCUGGAACUUUGGGAACAUUAUUUCAGGCCCUGACAGACAAACUCCAUGUUGAUAGUAUGUGACUGUCUAUAUAGAGUAUGUAUAAGCAUAGUAUAGGAAUAAUAGAAUUUACUGUGUUAAAAACCUUGUCAAUUUAAUAUUUCAGAUAACUAGAUAAGUGAAGUAAUAGUUAUUUGUAAUGAAAUAUUUUGUAUUUGAAUCGACUGUGAUUAAAAUAUGUUUAAAAUGCCAGGUAAAACAAACUUGUUUUCAAUAAAAGUUGGCUUCCACUGAAGCUGCAGCUUUGAGGCAC